AAGAAAAACAGAAGGGAUAAAUCAUAUGUUUUGGAAACCAACUUGUAGUAUAAGCCGUGAUGCCAACCACUCAAAAGAUAGAAUAUACAAAGCAUAGCUACGAGGAAAGGGAUAGAAAUUGCAGUGGAUAUCAAGUUGAUCAAGAGGAUUAGUUACCCAAAAAGGUAAAUCAUGUUCAUCUUACCUCAUGUAUUACAGUAUUAGCACUGUGGAUAUCAAGUUGUCCCGCACCCGCCGCUCCCGGAGCUCCUCCGCGUCGAGCUCGGCAGCAUCAGCAGCCGCCGCUCCAACACCA
rnacentral:lncRNA from 1 species